rnacentral:sRNA from 1 species
GCCGGGCGCAGUGGUGCACGCCUGUAAUCCCAGGGGCUUGGGAGGCUGAGGCAGGAGCAUCACCAGUUUGAAGCCAGCCUCAGCAAAAGCGAGGCGCUAAGCAACUCAGUGAGACCCUGUCUCUA